UUUAGUUUAUGGUUUGCUGAUAUCUCACAUUCCCAUAGAUAUCCUCCUUGUCAUCGGAGCAAUAUUCAGGAGCAAUAGCCUAGUGAUGUUUUACCUCGGAGCUGAUGCAUUUUUCCUUGGUAUUCUAGCAGCAGUCUGGACUAUGGUAUUCAUGACAGAAAGGAUGAUUAGAAUGGUUUUGAUGCUAAUAUUAUUCCCUCUUCUAUCUAUAUCUCUCUGCGCCUGGAUGACGAUAUUUGGAUUCUAACUUGAGGAAACCCAAUGGCGCAGGAUAAUGAGGAAACAAAAGAGAAAAGAAAUGGAAAGAGUUUUAUCACAAAGUUGGGAAAUAGCUCAUUCAAAAGACUCAAUGUCAAAGACCUGCCUCGAAGAGAUUAUGCGAAAUGAACUUGCCUGGACACUUGCUCAGAUUGGAGAAGAUGCAGAUGAAAACCUUCCUAGUUUCACCAACUCUGGUUUCCUGGAGGACAGUCUCCAGAGCUUUACUAAUCCUGGUUUCAUUCAGGAUUAAAGAUUUAGCUCUUCCAACUUUAUCAAUAUCAAUAUCUAUAUAUUCAAAGUAGUAAUCUCUGUUUGUUUGUUUUACGUCCGAUCAUAACUCAU